rnacentral:rRNA from 1 species
UACAGAGGUCUCAAGCGUUGUUCGGAUUCAUUGGGCGUAAAGGGCGCGUAGGCGGGCGGUCAAGUCGGAGGUGAAAGCCUGCAGCUCAACUGCAGAAGUGCCCCCGAUACUGAUCACCUCGAGGGAGGUAGGGGCGUGCGGAACUUCCGGUGGAGCGGUGAAAUGCGUAGAUAUCGGAAGGAACACCGGUGGCGAAAGCGGCGCGCUGGACCUCUUCUGACGCUGAGGCGCGAAAGCCAGGGGAGCAAACGGG